AGCCCGGUGGUGUAGUGGUCAAGCAUACUGGCCUUUGGAGCCGGUGACCCAGGUUCGAACCCUGGCCGGGCUA
rnacentral:tRNA from 1 species